AAUCGGCCCACUGCCACGCCCACAAAAUGGCGGAAACCAAAAACCUAAAAUAAAGUGUCAUAACUAAGCCAUAAAUAAAGAUAUUAAAACGAAAUUUGGCACAAAGGAUCACAAAUGGGCGUGGCGUCGCCCACUUAUGGACCAAAAACCAUAUCUCAGGAACUACUCAACCGAUUUCAAUGAAAUUCGGUAUAUAAUAUUUUCCUAACACCCUGAUGACAUGUACGAAAUAUGGGUGAAAUCGGUUCACAACCACGCCUUCUUCCAAUAUAACGCUAUUUUGAAUUCCAUCUGGUGCCUUCUCUGUAUAAUAUAUACAUUAGGAACCAAUGAUGAUAGCGGAAUAAAACUUUACACAAAUACGGUAUUUGAGCUGAGGUAUCCCUUGUGGAAAAAUUGUCGUGAUCGGACUAUAACUUUUCAAGGUCCCUGAUAUCGAACACGAAGAACUCAGUGUCUAACCUAACGUAACCUAAUUUUUCACCGAAAAUGUCGGUAAAUCUCUCAGAAUUUAAUUCUAAUUAAUUUUACAACAAAAUAAAAAAAAUGUGUAAAUAACGGAUAAUGAAAUCUCGAUUAUCACUUUAUCAUGCGAGAGUAUAAAAUGUUCGGUGACACCCGAACUUAGCCCUUCCUUACUUGUCUUCUUUAAAUUUAAUAAACAACAAAUUGUGUACUCACAACGUGUCGUAAAAUAAUAAAUUUCUAUACUAGUAGUUUAAAAAAUUUGCUGUUGGAUUGCAUACUAAAAUAAGUUUACGCAAAUGCAACUCUGAACGCUUUAUUUUGGAUCGUUAUAACUUUAUGAGACUAUGUGAAACCCCUAAGAUUAAUAUUGUAAAAUAAUGACAUAAAUAAACAUUUAUAACUCAAGAACGGUUGAACCGAUUUGGCUGAAAAUUGGUGGGAAUUAGCUUAGAAGCAAUGCAAGGACAUAGGAUAGUUUUUAUCUCAUUAUUCAAUUCAAUUCAAGUCAUAAAUACAAAAAUUAUAUUUCAAAUCAAAAGCAUUGGUUCAAAAUUCAUGUAAGAAUCAUUUGAAAUUUUUAGUAAUUAAAAAAUAGAAAGAAAUAAGAAAAAAUUUUCAUAUCCAUACAAGCUUAGUACGAGUAUAACCCGAUUUUACUUCUGAACCAGCCAGUUUUUUCACCUAACGGUUGUACGUAUCACCUAAAACUAAUCGAGAUAGAUAUAGGGUUAUAUGCAUAUGUAUAUACAACCAAAUUUGCUGGGGCAAAUCUGUAUGAUAACCCCGCUCAUUACCCAUGUAACGCUACCGUUAAAAACUACUAAAAGCUCGAUAAAUCAAUAACUAAAUACGCCAGAAAUAUUAAAUUUUACCACAAAGAUGAUGGGCGUGGCACCACCCAUAUUUGGUGAAAUCCCUAUUGCCCUAUUGUGAAAAUGGAUGAAAUCUGACAACAACAACACCUACUUCUCAUAUAGCACAAUUUUAAUUUCCAAUUAAUUACAAACAUUUUGUAAAUCCAAUAAAAACUGUUCAAGCCCUUAGGUACACCCCGGUAAUUGUAGUUGACGUUUGACCCAAAGGUCGGUCAAUGUUUGAUAUAUAAGUAUAUAAUAACUGAAAUUAAUCGGUAAUCCUUCUCUCAUAAUGGUAUGUCUAUAAACCAAAAAUGGGUUGAAUCGGGUCACAUACUUAGCCUUUACCCCCAUAUACCUAAUAUAAAGAUUUUCGGACUUCAGGGUCACUUUGUACCGCAUAUAUUGACCAACAUCUGAGUUAUCUCAAUGAAAAUAAGAGAGCGUGUUUUAUUCAUAACAUUGUAUCUUUUUGCCUAAAUUAGAUAAAUUUGGGCGAAAACUUGGUCUAGACGCUAUAUAAAUAAUAUUGACUGCUAUAUAUGAUUGGGUUUACAUCUUAUAGUAUUUCAAUGGCUUUGAUUCUUGCAAAAGUAUAAAAUGUUGGGUUGCACCCGACCUUAGCCCUUCCUUACUUGUUGUUAAUGCUAUUUUUAAGAUUUAAAGGAGAUGUAGUUGCUAAUUUUGCUUCGGAAUCUGCUAGUGUGUUUCCUUGUAUGCCGAUAUGACUGAGUAUCCAUGAGAGUUUAACUUUUCCUAUAUUGGCGGUAUGUAUAUUUCUGAUUCGGCAAAUCGUGUCAGUGGCAAGCGUGCUGCUUCUGCUAAAAAUACUGAGGCAAAAGAUGCUAGUAUAGCAAACGUAAUUGUUGCAUAGUUAUUAACAACGCUGCUUAGAACCAUCAGUGUAGAGAGUUUUCCAAUUAGUGUAAUUUCUUAAAAUUUCCGAAAAAAGUUGUAAAUAAACUUUAGGUGAUGUGCUUUCUUUUUUAUAUGUAUAUGAUCAAGUCCAAAAUAACGCAAGAUUGGGUUAGAUUACAUGGAGGAGCACGAAAGCGGGCAACUGCUGGGAUGGCAGCAGGAUCAUCCAUUUCUUUUGCCGCAUCGAAUAGCUUUUGUAAGGCUGGAGCUUGUAAGGGCUUGCACUUUAUGUUUAAAAUAUAUUUUUGAGGGCAGCUUUGGUAGAUGAUCCUUUUGCGAAGGUCAGUUUAGUAGACAUGCCUUUUGUGAUGAAGUGUAACUUGUUUUCUAAGGUAGGUAAACCAGCUUCAGCCAAUAUGUUUACGAUUGGAGGCAGAAAGAUAGAGGUGACCAAUAUAUACGGUCAAAUACCUGAGUCUCAGGCUGGAUUUCAUGUUGCGGUGGAAGCAGCAUGUUGACCUGACCAUGGACCAAAGACACUGAUGGUGUGCAAUCGGCUUGCUGGUAAAUCCCGGGGGUGUAAAACCAAGGAUUUUCAGAUGGUUGCACACCAUGGAAGUGCGACCAAUUAUCACUUAUAGAGCGGUGGGUUGGGCUCCGAAAGCAUAGCAUCAGUAGAACUUCAACUAUCGAAGUUGCAAAGACUCGCCUGCGUCUGCAUGUCGGAAUCUAUGCGCACAUGUCCGAAGGAGUCUGAUGCAACUCAAUUAUAUAUAAUUUGUCAAGUCGCCAACACACUGUGCUCCAGAUGACAGCAAAGGUAAGGUAAUGUCUUCCCAACGUAUAUAAAAGCUAAGUGGCGUCAUACCACUGGCUCUUCUCCCUAGGGAUAGCAUUACCAAAAAGGUGAACUUCACUAGAAGGUUUAAGAUUACCCUCAGCAGCAAGGCCGAAUGGAGCGACUCGGCUCUAGAGGUACUGCUUAGGGACAGUACAAUCAGGUGGUACACCAAUGGCUCGAAAACGUCGGAGGGAAUUGGCGCAGGGGUCGCAGUACUACGUGCAAAACUCUCCAUAUCUGUGGGUAAGUCUCCGAGCAUAUUCCAAGGUAUUUGCUAUAAGUCGAGUUAAACCUCAAACGCAACUAUCGCAAUGAACGUAUAACUAUACUAAGCGAUAGCCAAGCGGCACUCAAAACGAUCUCUUCGUACGAGAUAAAAUCACUAUUGGUGCAGGAGUGUAUAGAACGACUGAAUAGUCUUUUAAAAUUUAGCCAAGUGCAUCUUAUUUGGGUGACAGGCUUGCCCGCUCUGCAGCAUCCACCAACUUGGUAGGACCAGAACCUUUCAUAGCGGUUGGUCCCCAGACAAAGGAGCUGCUCCGUAAUGAUGAAACAGUGGGUAGGGAGAAGCAUUCGCAACAACUCCCGCGCAUGCGCCAUGCAAAGUUGCUAAUGAAUGAUACAACCUUAAAAGGUUUAAAUAUGUAAUCAACCUCCCAAGGGAAAAGCUCAGGCUACUGGUCUCCUUCUCAAGAAGCACUUAUUUAACAUGGGCCCAGCUUCUUGUGCAAAUUGCCGCUUCUGCGACUUGAAGUCUGAAACAUCAGAACACCUGCUAAUGGACUGCACUGCAGUUUGUAGGCGCAGGAUUAAGGCCCUUGGAACCAUGUUUCCAAAUAGGGAUCACAUUGCCUCAAUAGCACCUAGCAGUAUAUUGGAACACAUCAAUUUGCUGGGGCUAGUUCAGACGUUGUGAGUUAGAGGAGGGCACAAUAGAGGUCGCUGUGCAAAAUCCUCAUUUACUUGUCUAAUCUAUUCUAUUUUGAUAAAAAAUUGUAUGAUAAACAGCUUUGUUUAUCACAUCAAAGUAGAUUAAAUAUUAUUAAAUAUCCCUGUGGUCAUUCCAUGUAUACUUAUGUUUAAAUAUAUAGCCUAGAAUUUUAAGACUAUUACGUUAUUUAUAUUACUGCUAUUAAAACUUAAUAUAUAGGGGUGCUGCGAAAUCCAAGACAGAAUUGCUUAGCUGUCAAAAUUGCAUACCAAUUCUGAUUUUCAAUGGUGUCACAGAAUUUGAUUGGAUUUUAACCUUUUCGAACAUACGCAAAACCAAUAUUCGUGACAAAACUUGCAAAUGAAUUCAUUUGGAAGCAAUUCUAUUAAACUUUUUAAUAAGUUUCGAAUUAAAGGAAGAUUUUAAGAGAUAACACCUAUCGAAUGAAUAAAGACGCAUUUGGGUGUUAAAUUACGUUUAUUACGUUUUGUAAAUCUAUUAUCUUUAAAUACCCGGAUUUUUUUUUCCAAAAACUCAAUGAUUAAGACAUUUUGUGUUUUAUAUUUGUGUUCCUAUAGAAAUAAAGAUAAAUCAAUUCGUAACAAUAAAAUAACUUGAUUUCUUAACUUACAUUUCAAAUCCGUGUGCGACUAUCUUCUUGCAUUGUUUCUGAAAGCAAAACCGAUAAAAUUGGUUUCCGUGGCACCCAAAACCGAUACAAAUUCUGUUUCGAAUAUCAAAUAAAUAAUCAGGGGUGUUGUGGAAUCCAAGACAGAACUGCUUAGCUGUCAGAAUUGCAAACCAAUUCUGAUUUUAAAUGGUGUCACAUAAUCUGAUUGAUUUUUUGUCUUUUCGAACAUACGCAAAACCAAUAUUCGAAUCAGCUGCUUACUAAUGUGACAAAACUUGCAAAUGAAUACAUUUGGAAGCAAUCCCUUUAAAGUUUUUAAUGAGUUUUUAAAAGAUAAUAUUUAUCGAAUGAAUAAAGACGCAUUUGGGUGUUAAAUUACUUUUAUUGUUUUGUAAAUCUUCUUUAAGAGGAGAACCUGCUUUAGAACCUUUAAAAAAUUAAAUUUUUCUUUAAAAAUUAUUAAGAAUAUUUCCCCAAAGUUAUAGAUGAGAAUUCGAAAUAUUGUCGAAGCUAGAAGGGAAAUAAUGACCGAGCGUUUAGCAGAUACAUAUGUAUAAGAGCGUUUGGGUAGAGAGCGAAAACUUUGACGCGCGAUUUCUCGGUUUUUCAUUUUUGCGAUUUUUCUUAAUUGGCGGGCAGGGUAGAAAAAAAACUGAACGUCAUAUGGAAUUGAGGCAAAAUUUAUUAUCUUUGGCAUUAAAUUAUCUUCUAUUUAAACUAAAAAAACUAAGAAAAGUUAAGAUUGAACAUAUAUUUAAAGUAAAUUUUUUUUUAUCCAAAACCACUUUUUUCAAAUUUUAAAACUUUUUAGAAUUUUACAUUUUUUUUUAUCUUCCUAAAUUAAUUUGAACAUAAGUUAUAAAAUAAUAUGAAUCUCUUUGAUUUUUUUGUUUCCGAUAGAAAUCUCGACCUGCAUCCUGCCCGCCGUCUGGCAUAUGUACAUGCGAGAAGCAUCUUACAAUUGCUUCCCAAAGGCAAAAUGUAAAAGAUUUCGUAUCACAAAAAUUUUCGGAAGAUGUUUAAAUAUAUAACUAUAAACCCUAGAAAUUUCGCUUUAAUCAAUAAUUUAUUUCCCUCCAAAAAAAACCAAAAAACGAUUUUAUUAAGCCUCUAAAGCAAACUUUCCUCUUAAAUAUCCGCAUUUUUUCUCGAAAAGUCAAUAAUUAAGACAUUUCGUGUUUUAUUCUCAUGUUUUCUUCUAUAGAAAUAAAGAUAAAUUAAUUCGUAACAAUAAAAUAACUUGAUUUCUUAACUCAUAUUUCAAAACUGUGUCCGACUAUCUUCUUGAUUUGUUUCUGCCAAGAAACCCGAUAAAAUUUGUUUCCGUGACGCCCAAAACCCAUUCAAAUUCUGUUUCGAAUAUCAAACCAAUAAUAUCUGAAUUCAUGACACCUACUGUUUUUAUACUCUCGCAACAAAGUUGCUAAAGAGAGUAUUAUAGUUUUGUUCACAUAACGGUUGUUUGUAAGUCCUAAAACUAAAAGAGUCAGAUAUAGGGUUAUAUAUACCAAAGUGAUCAGGGUGACGAGUAGAGUUGAAAUCCGGAUGUCUGUCUGUCCGUCCGUCCGUGCAAGCUGUAACUUGAGUAAAAAUUGAGAUAUCAUGAUGAAACUUGGUACACGUAUUUCUUGGCUCCAUAAGAAGGUUAAGUUCGAAGAUGGGAAAAAUCGGCCCACUGCCACGCCCACAAAAUGGCGGAAACCAAAAACCUAUAAAGUGUCAUAACUAAGCCAUAAAUAAAGAUAUUAAAAUGAAAUUUGGCACAAAGGAUCACAAAUGGGCGUGGCGUCGCCCACUUAUGGACCAAAAACCAUAUCUCAGGAACUACUCAACCGAUUUCAAUGAAAUUCGGUAUAUAAUAUUUUCCUAACACCCUGAUGACAUGUACGAAAUAUGGGUGAAAUCGGUUCACAACCACGCCUUCUUCCAAUAUAACGCUAUUUUGAAUUCCAUCUGGUGCCUUCUCUGUAUAAUAUAUACAUUAGGAACCAAUGAUGAUAGCGGAAUAAAACUUUACACAAAUACGGUAUUUGAGCUGAGGUAUCCCUUGUGGAAAAAUUGUCGUGAUCGGACUAUAACUUUUCAAGGUCCCUGAUAUCGAACACGAAGAACUCAGUGUCUAACCUAACGUAACCUAAUUUUUCACCGAAAAUGUCGGUAAAUCUCUCAGAAUUUAAUUCUAAUUAAUUUUACAACAAAAUAAAAAAAAUGUGUAAAUAACGGAUAAUGAAAUCUCGAUUAUCACUUUAUCAUGCGAGAGUAUAAAAUGUUCGGUGACACCCGAACUUAGCCCUUCCUUACUUGUCUUCUUUAAAUUUAAUAAACAACAAAUUGUGUACUCACAACGUGUCGUAAAAUAAUAAAUUUCUAUACUAGUAGUUUAAAAAAUUUGCUGUUGGAUUGCAUACUAAAAUAAGUUUACGCAAAUGCAACUCUGAACGCUUUAUUUUGGAUCGUUAUAACUUUAUGAGACUAUGUGAAACCCCUAAGAUUAAUAUUGUAAAAUAAUGACAUAAAUAAACAUUUAUAACUCAAGAACGGUUGAACCGAUCUGGCUGAAAAUUGGUGGGAAUUAGCUUAGAAGCAAUGCAAGGACAUAGGAUAGUUUUUAUCUCAUUAUUCAAUUCAAUUCAAGUCAUAAAUACAAAAAUUGUAUUUCAAAUCAAAAGCAUUGGUUCAAAAUUCAUGUAAGAAUCAUUUGAAAUUUUUAGUAAUUAAAAAAUAGAAAGAAAUAAGAAAAAAAUUUCAUAUCCAUACAAGCUUAGUACGAGUAUAACCCGAUUUUACUUCUGAACCAGCCAGUUUUUUCACCUAACGGUUGUACGUAUCACCUAAAACUAAUCGAGAUAGAUAUAGGGUUAUAUGCAUAUGUAUAUACAACCAAAUUUGCUGGGGCAAAUCUGUAUGAUAACCCCGCUCAUUACCCAUGUAACGCUACCGUUAAAAACUACUAAAAGCUCGAUAAAUCAAUAACUAAAUACGCCAGAAAUAUUAAAUUUUACCACAAAGAUGAUGGGCGUGGCACCACCCAUAUUUGGUGAAAUCCCUAUUGCCCUAUUGUGAAAAUGGAUGAAAUCUGACAACAACAACACCUACUUCUCAUAUAGCACAAUUUUAAUUUCCAAUUAAUUACAAACAUUUUGUAAAUCCAAUAAAAACUGUUCAAGCCCUUAGGUACACCCCGGUAAUUGUAGUUGACGUUUGACCCAAAGGUCGGUCAAUGUUUGAUAUAUAAGUAUAUAAUAACUGAAAUUAAUCGGUAAUCCUUCUCUCAUAAUGGUAUGUCUAUAAACCAAAAAUGGGUUGAAUCGGGUCACAUACUUAGCCUUUACCCCCAUAUACCUAAUAUAAAGAUUUUCGGACUUCAGGGUCACUUUGUACCGCAUAUAUUGACCAACAUCUGAGUUAUCUCAAUGAAAAUAAGAGAGCGUGUUUUAUUCAUAACAUUGUAUCUUUUUGCCUAAAUUAGAUAAAUUUGGGCGAAAACUUGGUCUAGACGCUAUAUAAAUAAUAUUGACUACUAUAUAUGAUUGGGUUUACAUCUUAUAGUAUUUCAAUGGCUUUGAUUCUUGCAAAAGUAUAAAAUGUUGGGUUGCACCCGACCUUAGCCCUUCCUUACUUGUUGUUAAUGCUAUUUUUAAGAUUUAAAGGAGAUGUAGUUGCUAAUUUUGCUUCGGAAUCUGCUAGUGUGUUUCCUUGUAUGCCGAUAUGACUGAGUAUCCAUGAGAGUUUAAUUUUUCCUACAUUGGCGGUAUGCAUAUUUCUGAUUCGGCAAAUCGUGUCAGUGGCAAGCGUGCUGCUUCUGCUAAAAAUACUGAGGCAAAAGAUGCUAGUAUAGCAAACGUAAUUGUUGCAUAGUUAUUAACAACGCUGCUUAGAACCAUCAGUGUAGAGAGUUUUCCAAUUAGUGUAAUUUCUUAAAAUUUCCGAAAAAAGUUGUAAAUAAACUUUAGGUGAUGUGCUUUCUUUUUUAUAUGUAUAUGAUCAAGUCCAAAAUAACGCAAGAUUGGGUUAGAUUACAUGGAGGAGCACGAAAGCGGGCAACUGCUGGGAUGGCAGCAGGAUCAUCCAUUUCUUUUGCCGCAUCGAAUAGCUUUUGUAAGGCUGGAGCUUGUAAGGGCUUGCACUUCAUGUUUAAAAUAUAUUUUUGAGGGCAGCUUUGGUAGAUGAUCCUUUUGCGAAGGUCAGUUUAGUAGACAUGCCUUUUGUGAUGAAGUGUAACUUGUUUUCUAAGGUAGGUAAACCAGCUUCAGCCAAUAUGUUUACGAUUGGAGGCAGAAAGAUAGAGGUGACCAAUAUAUACGGUCAAAUACCUGGGUCUCAGGCUGGAUUUCAUGUUGCGGUGGAAGCAGCAUGUUGACCUGACCAUGGACCAAAGACACUGAUGGUGUGCAAUCGGCUUGCUGGUAAAUCCCGGGGGUGUAAAACCAAGGAUUUUCAGAUGGUUGCACACCAUGGAAGUGCGACCAAUUAUCACUUAUAGAGCGGUGGGUUGGACUCCGAAAGCAUAGCAUCAGUAGGACUUCAACUAUCGAAGUUGCAAAGACUCGCCUGCGUCUGCAUGUCGGAAUCUAUGCGCACAUGUCCGAAGGAGUCUGAUGGAACUCAAUUAUAUAUAAUUUGUCAAGUCGCCAACACACUGUGCUCCAGAUGACAGCAAAGGUAAGGUAAUGUCUUCCCAACGUAUAUAAAAGCUAAGUGGCGUCAUACCACUGGCUCUUCUCCCUAGGGAUAGCAUUACCAAAAAGGUGAACUUCACUAGAAGGUUUAAGAUUACCCUCAGCAGCAAGGCCGAAUGGAGCGACUCGGCUCUAGAGGUACUGCUUAGGGACAGUACAAUCAGGUGGUACACCAAUGGCUCGAAAACGUCGGAGGGAAUUGGCGCAGGGGUCGCAGUACUACGUGCAAAACUCUCCAUAUCUGUGGGUAAGUCUCCGAGCAUAUUCCAAGGUAUUUGCUAUAAGUCGAGUUAAACCUCAAACGCAACUAUCGCAAUGAACGUAUAACUAUACUAAGCGAUAGCCAAGCGGCACUCAAAACGAUCUCUUCGUACGAGAUAAAAUCACUAUUGGUGCAGGAGUGUAUAGAACGACUGAAUAGUCUUUUAAAAUUUAGCCAAGUGCAUCUUAUUUGGGUGACAGGCUUGCCCGCUCUGCAGCAUCCACCAACUUGGUAGGACCAGAACCUUUCAUAGCGGUUGGUCCCCUGACCUUAAAGGAGCUGCUCCGUAAUGAUGAAACAGUGGGUAGGGAGAAGCAUUCGCAACAACUCCCGCGCAUGCGCCAUGCAAAGUUGCUAAUGAAUGAUACAACCUCAAAAGGUUUAAAUAUGUAAUCAACCUCCCGAGGGAAAAACUCAGGCUACUGGUCUCCUUCUCAAGAAGCACUUAUUUAACAUGGGCCCAGCUUCUUGUGCAAAUUGCCGCUUCUGCGACUUGAAGUCUGAAACAUCAGAACACCUGCUAAUGGACUGCACUGCAGUUUGUAGGCGCAGGAUUAAGGCCCUUGGAACCAUGUUUCCAAAUAGGGAUCACAUUGCCUCAAUAGCACCUAGCAGUAUAUUGGAACACAUCAAUUUGCUGGGGCUAGUUCAGACGUUGUGAGUUAGAGGAGGGCACAAUAGAGGUCGCUGUGCAAAAUCCUCAUUUACUUGUCUAAUCUAUUCUAUUUUGAUAAAAAAUUGUAUGAUAAACAGCUUUGUUUAUCACAUCAAAGUAGAUUAAAUAUUAUUAAAUAUCCCUGUGGUCAUUCCAUGUAUACUUAUGUUUAAAUAUAUAGCCUAGAAUUUUAAGACUAUUACGUUAUUUAUAUUACUGCUAUUCUUCUUCUUCUUCUUUACUGGCGUAGACACCGCUUACGCGAUUAUAGCCGAGUCAACAACAGCGCGCCAUUAAAACUUAAUAUAUAGGGGUGUUGCGAAAUCCAAGACAGAAUUGCUUAGCUGUCAAAAUUGCAUACCAAUUCUGAUUUUCAAUGGUGUCACAGAAUUUGAUUGGAUUUUAACCUUUUCGAACAUACGCAAAACCAAUAUUCGUGACAAAACUUGCAAAUGAAUUCAUUUGGAAGCAAUCCCUUUAAAGUUUUUAAUAAAAUUCGAAUUAAAGGAAGAUUUUAAGAGGAAACAUUUAUCGAAUGAAUAAAGACGCAUUUGGGUGUUAAAUUACGUUUUGUAAAUCUAUUAUCUUUAAAUACCCGGAUGUUUUUUUCAAAAACUCAAUGAUUAAGACAUUUUGUGUUUUGUAUUUGUUUUCCCUUAUAGAAAUAAAGAUAAAUCAAUUCGUAAAAAUAAAAUAACUUGAUUUCUUAACUUACAUUUCAAAUCCGUGUGCGACUAUCUUCUUGUAUUGUUUCUGAAAGCAAAACCGAUAAAAUUAGUUUCCGUGGCACCCAAAACCGAUACAAAUUCUGUUUCGAAUAUCAAAUAAAUAAUCAGGGGUGUUGUGGAAUCCAAGACAGAACUGCUUAGCUGUCAGAAUUGCAAACCAAUUCUGAUUUUAAAUGGUGUCACAUAAUCUGAUUGAAUUUUUGUCUUUUCGAGCAUACGCAAAACCAAUAUUCGAAUCAGCUGCUUACUAAUGUGACAAAACUUGCAAAUGAAUACAUUUGGAAGCAAUCCCUUUAAAGUUUUUAAUGAGUUUUUAAAAGAUAAUAUUUAUCGAAUGAAUAAAGACGCAUUUGGGUGUUAAAUUACGUUUAUUGUUUUGUAAAUCUUCUUUAAGAGGAGAACCUGCUUUAGAACCUUUAAAAAUUAAUUUUUUCUUUAAAAAUUAUUAAGAAUAUUUCCCCAAAGUUAUAGAUGAGAAUUCGAAAUAUUGUCGAAGCUAGAAGGGAAAUAAUGACCGAGCGUUUAGCAGAUACAUAUGUAACGGAGCGUUUGGGUAGAGAGCGAAAACUUUGACGCGCGAUUUCUCGGUUUUUCAUUUUUGCGAUUUUUCUUAAUUGGCGGGCAGGGUAGAAAAAAAACUGAACGUCAUAUGGAAUUGAGGCAAAAUUUAUUAUCUUUGGCAUUAAAUUAUCUUCUAUUUAAACUAAAAAAACUAAGAAAAGUUAAGAUUGAACAUAUAUUUAAAGUAAAUUUUUAUUUAUCCAAAACCACUUUUUUCAAAUUUUAAAACUUUUUAGAAUUUUACAUUUUUUUUAUCUUCCUAAAUUAAUUUGAACAUAAGUUAUAAAAUAAUAUGAAUCUCUUUGAUUUUUUUGUUUCCGAUAGAAAUCUCGACCUGCAUCCUGCCCGCCGUCUGGCAUAUGUACAUGCGAGAAGCAUCUUACAAUUGCUUCCCAAAGGCAAAAUGUAAAAGAUUUCGUAUCACAAAAAUUUUCGGAAGAUGUUUAAAU